rnacentral:rRNA from 1 species
AACGCGAAGAACCUUACCAAGGCUUGACAUGUAGAGGAAAAGUGCAGAGAUGCACUCCCCGCAAGGUCUCUACACAGGUGGUGCAUGGUUGUCGUCAGCUCGUGUCGUGAGAUGUUGGGUUAAGUCCCGCAACGAGCGCAACCCUCGUCCUAUGUUGCCAGCACGUUAUGGUGGGAACUCAUGGGAUACUGCCGGGGUCAACUCGGAGGAAGGUGGGGAUGACGUCAAAUCAUCAUGCCCCUUAUGUCUUGGGCUUCACGCAUGCUACAAUGGCCAGUACAGAGGGCUGCAAUACCGUAAGGUGGAGCGAAUCCCAAAAAGCUGGUCUCAGUUCGGAUUGAGGUCUGCAACUCGACCUCAUGAAGUCGGAGUCGCUAGUAAUCGUAGAUCAGCAACGCUACGGUGAAUACGUUCCCGGGUCUUGUACACACCG